rnacentral:rRNA from 1 species
CCGGCACGGGUGAGUAACACGUAUCCAACCUGCCGUCUACUCUUGGCCAGCCUCCUGAAAGGAAGAUUAAUCCAGGAUGGCAUCAUGAGUUCACAUGUCCGCAUGAUUAAAGGUAUUUUCCGGUAGACGAUGGGGAUGCGUUCCAUUAGAUAGUAGGCGGGGUAACGGCCCACCUAGUCAACGAUGGAUAGGGGUUCUGAGAGGAAGGUCCCCCACAUUGGAACUGAGACACGGUCCAA